CCUACGGAGAGCAGCAGUGGGGAAUAUUGGACAAUGGGCGAAAGCCUGAUCCAGCCAUGCCGCGUGUGUGAAGAAGGCCUUCGGGUUGUAAAGCACUUUCAGUGGGGAAGAAAGCCUUGGGGCUAAUACCCUCGAGGAAGGACAUCACCCACAGAAGAAGCACCGGCUAACUCCGUGCCAGCAGCCGCGGUAAUACGGAGGGUGCGAGCGUUAAUCGGAAUUACUGGGCGUAAAGCGCGCGUAGGCGGUCUGAUAAGCCGGUUGUGAAAGCCCCGGGCUCAACCUGGGAACGGCAUCCGGAACUGUCAGGCUAGAGUGCAGGAGAGGAAGGUAGAAUUCCCGGUGUAGCAGUGAAAUGCGUAGAGAUCGGGAGGAAUACCAGUGGCGAAGGCGGCCUUCUGGACUGACACUGACGCUGAGGUGCGAAAGCGUGGGUAGCAAACAGGAUUAGAUACCCUAGUAGUC
rnacentral:rRNA from 1 species